GAAAAGCACUACUUAUCCAAUCUCUUUACUUCACAGAAGAUUAAGUCUCUUUAAAUGACUACCCCAAGAUCCCAUAACUGAGGUGAAUUGAAUCUGCAACUGGAUGAGGCAGUUGGUGACAGAAGACAUUAGUGUAGACAGCCAAAGUAAAACUUUUGGAAAAGAAAAGCUGCAGGUGCUGCUCACCUCAACAGACUCACAACCAGUGACGUCAGAAUAAAACUUCUUGAAGAGAAUCAGCAUGCUUAGACCUUCAAAUGGAAUACACACGAAUGGCUAAAACCAAGUUCAUGCAUCUUGAUGCAUUUCCCCAAAUGACUUCCCAGAGAGGCCCUGUCUAUGACUCACCUCCUUCAGCAGCUUCAAACAUGUCCAGUCUACCAUCUUACUGCUUCUCUAAAAGCCUCCACAUCUGACAGACUUAUCUGGUCACAACAGGAUGGAAUUCUCUCAUGCUUUAUUGGUCACCUGGAAAUGAUUUCCUUUAAUUCUCUCUUUUAAGCAGUGACUGCUGACUGACAAGGUGGUGAGCUACCACGUACACCCAGCAUUUCUGGAGAUCUGAACUCUGGUCCUGGUACAUGUGCAAGUACUGAACUGUUGAGCCAUCUCUCCAUCUUAGCAGCUUCCAUCUGUUAAGAACUAUGAAAAGAAGGCAUUU